rnacentral:rRNA from 1 species
AACGAACGCUGGCGGCGCGCCUAACACAUGCAAGUCGAACGAGAAUCCGGGGCAACCCGGUAGUAAAGUGGCAAACGGGUGAGGAAUACAUGGGUAACCUACCCUUGAGAAGGGAAUAACCCGCCGAAAGGUGAGCUAAUACCCUAUACGCUAUCAUUUUUACGAAAAGAUAGGAAAGCCAGGUCGAGGACUUGGUACUCAAGGAGGGGCUCAUGUCCUAUCAGCUUGUUGGUGGGGUAACGGCCUACCAAGGCUACGACGGGUAGCUGGUCUGAGAGGAUGAUCAGCCACACUGGCACUGAGAUACGGGCCAGACUCCUACGGGAGGCAG